GCAGCGCCGGUAUUAAGGAGGAUGCGAGAAUUAUUUUAAGGUAUAGUGGGUAAAAAGGGUGCAGUGGGUUGUUUAACAAACAUGGGAAAAACCGGGUUUCAUCACGGGAAAUACACUUUUAAAAGUCAAAAUCUUGAGUGCAGGAGAGGUAAGCAGAAUUAGUUGUGUAGCGGAGAAAUGUGUAGAUAUUAGGAAGAACACCAGUGGAGAAGGCGGCUUUGUGGACUGUAACUACAUCUGAUGCAAGAAAGUGUGGGGGGCGCCGGGGAUUA
rnacentral:rRNA from 1 species